rnacentral:rRNA from 1 species
CCCUUAGAUGUUCUGGGCCGCACACGCGCUACACUGAAGGAGGCAGCGUGUACUCCUGGAUCGAAAGAUUUGGGUAACCCGCGAAUCUCCUUCGUGCUAGGGAUUGAGGUUUGCAAUUAUCCUUCAUGAACGAGGAAUUCCCAGUAAGUGCAAGUCAUAAGCUUGCGCUGACUACGUCCCUGCCCUUUGUACACACCGCCCGUCGCUACUACCGAUUGAAUGAUUUAGUGAGGACUUCGGACUGGGACCGAUGCGGCUUUCGGGCUGCGUCGGUAUUCUGGAAAGAUGUCCAAACUGUAUCAUUUAGAGGAAGUAAAANCCGUAACA